ACCCAAUUGAGUAGAGUAGGUAGAGCCCAGGUUUUGUAAUCUGGUUGCUUUCAGAUCAGCAAGAAUGCUGGUUGAUGCCAAAACAGCUGAAGGAGAGGGACAGAUAGGGUUGGAAUUGAAAGCAGGAGAGAACAACUGAAGCUGGUGAAGUUCAAGCUGGUUCUACAUAGAGCAGAAAACACUGUGUAAAAUGAAAGCAGAUGCAUUCCAAACUCAACCAUGGGAUAAGAAUGGCUAUGAUUACAGGGCAGAAGGAAAAAGCUGCAGGAAGGAAGAUAAAAAUUGCCCUUUAGAGCCACUCCGUUAUUUGAAUUCUUGGAAAUAGGCUUUUUGAAAGUGAAUUAGGCAAAGCUUAUUUCACAACAGGACACAUGAAGCAGGAGUUUCCCAAAAAUUUUAUUGCCUGGAUAUAAUUUCAAAUGACUGAUGCUGUUUGAAAACUGUGAAGCAUAAGCACAAACAUGAAACAUGAAACUUAUAUACAAGUGUAUUCUCCUUCUAAAAACAACAAUUCCUAGAAGAGACAUGAAACUUAAUUGAAGUGAUCUCAAUUGAGGCUUAUCUCCUGAGACGUUUGAAUAUGAGGUUGGACUUGAAGAAUCUAAUCAGUAUUAGCACUGCAACAAAUUUUUCUGUUAUCCCUUGAUGGGAAAGAUACGAACACCUCAGAUUCAUGUUAUUCUGCUGUAGAGAGGAUUCCCACUUGUUGGUUGAUUGGAAAUGUGGCCUGAAAAUACAGAAGCCCAACAUCUGGAUGCAAAAAGAUUCCUCAUCAAAUCCACCUCAUCAUACAGGCUCCCUGUUAAUUAUUGAUCCAAGCCUGAGCUAAAAUUGCAAGAAUGACUUCAAAAUUGUAUUUUUUGAAGACCUUUUGUUUUCUAGCCACAAUUGUUUAAAGCUGACAAAUCUAACUAAAGCUUUCUUGAAGAUUGAUACAAAUGCAUUUCCUCUGAAAUGAGUAUUGGGAGUUGGAUAGUAUACAAAUUUAAUAAAUAGAUUUCAUGUGUU